UUUGUCUCCCUCGUCUCUCGUAUUCCUCGUUCUCCCUCACCUCUCUCUCAGCAGCUCCGACUACGUCGAAUAGUAGCAGGCGACGGCGAAGUACAAGAAACCAACAACGGCAAAUCCUCCGAUCUCCACCUCCACCCUUGGCUACGGCAAAAAUGAACUAGCAGCUUUUCGUUCGGUGAGGGAUAGCAGUAGAAGUAGCGACAGGACUGGUAAGGUCCAAGCAAAGCAGCGUCGGGCGGUGGUUGAGGCAACCGUGGGCGGCACCGGAAACUAUGGUGGUAAUGGCGACCUCUGCUUCCGACGAAAACAGGGUAGCGACGUCUCUGGUCCUUCUUCGUGGUCUACGGUACGGCGUGGCAGCUACGGUGAGAGUCAUUGGCGUUGCAGCAACGGCAGAUAAAAAGCAGACGACGGCGGGGACGGAGAAAUGGACAGCGGCUGUAAGCUUUGUUGGUGGCGUUCCUUUCUCCUUCGUAGCGUAGCAGCGAGCAGCGGCAGCCAUGGCAUCCAUAUGGCGAAGUAGUGACCGCUAGCCUCUUUUCUUCCUUCAGCAAGCUCGAUUAAUGGCAAGGUAAUACGGUGGAGUUGUUGAUGAUUGAGGCAAGUUGACGAAGAUGGAUUAGUGGCUUAUUAUUUGUUUAGUGAGGUUCCCUAUCACUAUGAGAUGAGCCUAGGAUGGGUGUUGCUUUUGGAUUGCUAGCUUCAAGAGGAAGCAUCUGCAGGUGAUGCAUUAAACAGUUCAACUAUUGCAGCUUAAGGAAUUGCUGAAGACGGUGAAAUGGAUGAAACAAAUUCUAUCCAAAUAUGCUUAAUGAAUUUCAUCAACUCAGAAACUAAAGAAGGCUAAUUGCAAUGAUUGGAGUUCAUGUAUUAUUUGAACAUGGCUUUUCUAGCUCUGCCUUGGCUUGUGGGUUUAUGAAGUUUGUUGCUUGGUUUUGUGGAGGACACUAAUGGACAGAUAGCACUUAUGUAGUGCUUCAGUAUUUUACUUUUACUGUUGGUUUUUUUAGUGUAUAAACUUUUAGGAAUAAUGCAGCUUAAAUGCCAAGGAACCAGGCAUUGCAGUACAAUUGUAAUGCUGUUGGGAAUGAAGCUUAAAAGUUUGCUGAGUUGGGAUUGUAAUUGUGAAAAUUCUGAUUAGAUUCUUAUUCUACAUGUUAAUAUGAUAUUUCUAUCUGACUUACAGUUGCAAUUAAA